rnacentral:rRNA from 1 species
CAGUAGCCGCGGUAAUACGUAGGGUGCAAGCGUUGUCCGGAAUUAUUGGGCGUAAAGAGCUCGUAGGCGGUUUGUCGCGUCUGCUGUGAAAUCCCGAGGCUCAACCUCGGGCUUGCAGUGGGUACGGGCAGACUAGAGUGCGGUAGGGGAGAUUGGAAUUCCUGGUGUAGCGGUGGAAUGCGCAGAUAUCAGGAGGAACACCGAUGGCGAAGGCAGAUCUCUGGGCCGUAACUGACGCUGAGGAGCGAAAGCGUGGGGAGCGAACAGGAUUAGAUACCCCUGUAGUCCCUGUCUCUUAUAA